AGGCGUAUAGCUCCAAUGGUAGAGCACCGGAUUCCAAAUCCGGGUGUUGGGAGUUCGAGCCUCUCUACGCCUGCCA
rnacentral:tRNA from 1 species